CCUACGGGUGGCAGCAGUGAGGAAUAUUGGUCAAUGGGCGCGAGCCUGAACCAGCCAAGUAGCGUGAAGGAUGACUGCCCUACGGGUUGUAAACUUCUUUUAUAAAGGAAUAAAGUGAGGCACGUGUGCCUUUUUGUAUGUACUUUAUGAAUAAGGAUCGGCUAACUCCGUGCCAGCAGCCGCGGUAAUACGGAGGAUGCGAGCGUUAUCCGGAUUUAUUGGGUUUAAAGGGUGCGUAGGCGGGCUGUUAAGUCAGCGGUCAAAUGUCGGGGCUCAACCCCGGCCUGCCGUUGAAACUGGCGGCCUCGAGUGGGCGAGAAGUAUGCGGAAUGCGUGGUGUAGCGGUGAAAUGCAUAGAUAUCACGCAGAACUCCGAUUGCGAAGGCAGCAUACCGGCGCCCGACUGACGCUGAGGCACGAAAGCGUGGGUAUCGAACAGGAUUAGAUACCCUGGUAGUC
rnacentral:rRNA from 1 species